AAGAGUUGAUCAUGGCUCAGGACGAACGCUGGCGGCAUGCCUAACACAUGCAAGUCGAACGGAGUUCGAGGGGCUUGCUCCUUGAACUUAGUGGCGGACGGGUGAGUAACGCGUGAGUAACCUGCCUUUCAGUGGGGAAUAAUAUUCUGAAAAGAGUACUAAUACCGCAUAACGUAUAGAAGCCGCAUGACUUUUAUACCAAAGAUUUAUCGCUGAGAGAUGGACUCGCGUCCGAUUAGCCAGUUGGUGAGGUAACGGCUCACCAAAGCAACGAUCGGUAGCCGGACUGAGAGGUUGAACGGCCACAUUGGGACUGAGACACGGCCCAGACUCCUACGGGAGGCAGCAGUGGGGGAUAUUGUGCAAUGGGGGAAAACCCUGACAACAGCAAUGCCGCGUGAAGGAUGAAGGUCUUCGGAUUGUAAACUUCUUUUGUCAAGGACGAUAAUGACGGUACUUGACGAAUAAGCUCCGGCUAACUACGUGCCAGCCGCUGC
rnacentral:rRNA from 1 species